GACGAACGCUGGCGGCGUGCUUAACACAUGCAAGUCGAACGGAAAGGCCCUGCUUUUGUGGGGUGCUCGAGUGGCGAACGGGUGAGUAACACGUGAGUAACCUGCCCUUGACUUUGGGAUAACUUCAGGAAACUGGGGCUAAUACCGGAUAGGAUCUCCUGCUGCAUGGUGGGGGUUGGAAAGUUUCGGCGGUUGGGGAUGGACUCGCGGCUUACCAGCUUGUUGGUGGGGUAGUGGCUUACCAAGGCUUUGACGGGUAGCCGGCCCGAGAGGGUGACCGGCCACCUUGGGACUGCGAGACGGACCAGACUCCUACGGGAGGCAGCAGUGGGGAAUAUUGCACAAUGGGCGGAAGCCUGAUGCAGAGACGCCGCGUGCGGGAUGACGGCCUUCGGGUUGUAAACCGCUUUCGCCUGUGACGAAGCGUGAGUGACGGUAAUGGAUAAAGAAGCACCGGCUAACUACGUG
rnacentral:rRNA from 1 species